UACGAAGGAUGCAAGCGUUAUCCGGAUUUAUUGGGUUUAAAGGGUGCGUAGGCGGACUUAUAAGUCAGUGGUGAAAUCUCGAUGCUUAACAUCGAACGUGCCAUUGAUACUGUAGGUCUUGAGUACAGAUGCCGUUGGCGGAAUGUGUCAUGUAGCGGUGAAAUGCAUAGAUACGACACAGAACACCGAUUGCGAAGGCAGCUCACUGGGGGUUAUCUGACGCUGAGGGACGAAAGCCAGGGGAGCGAACGGG
rnacentral:rRNA from 1 species